rnacentral:rRNA from 1 species
UUCUUUAAGAAAAUAAUUUAAAGUAAAACCUGCUCAAUGUACAUAUAUAUAAAUAGCCGCAGAAUAACUGUGCUAAGGUAGCAUAAUAAUUUGCUUUAUAAUUAAAAGAUAGAAUGAACGGUUAAACGAUAAAACACUGUUUCUUAUAAAAAAUUUAAUCUGAUAAUAAGGUUAAAACCCCUUAAUAAUAUAAUAAGACGACAAGACCCUGAUAAACUUAAACAAUUAGUUGGGGUGACAUAUUAAUUAUAUCUUAGUAAAUAAAAUAAACAAAACCUAAAAACAGAAAAAGACAAGUUACUACAGGGAUAACAGCGCAAUUUCUUUUAAAAGCUCUAAUUUAAAAAGAAGAUUACGACCUCGAUGUUGAAUUAUUUUAACUAUUUGGCGCAAAAGCUAAAAAAGAAAGUCUGUUCGACUAUUAAUAAAAU